GAUGAACGCUGGCGGCGUGCCUAAUACAUGCAAGUCGAGCGAACGGACGAGAAGCUUGCUUUUCUGAUGUUAGCGGCGGACGGGUGAGUAACACGUGGAUAACCUACCUAUAAGACUGGGAUAACUUCGUGAAACCGGAGCUAAUACCGGAUAAUAUUUUGAACCGCAUGGUUCAAAAGUGAAAGACGGUCUUGCUGUCACUUAUAGAUGGAUCCGCGCUGCAUUAGCUAGUUGGUAAGGUAACGGCUUACCAAGGCAACGAUGCAUAGCCGACCUGAGAGGGUGAUGGGCCACACUGGAACUGAGACACGGUCCAGACUCCGACGGGAGGCAGCAGUAGGGAAUCUUCCGAAAUGGGCGAAAGCCUGACGGAGCAACGCCGCGUGAGUGAUGAAGGUCUUCGGAUCGUAAAACUCUGUUAUUAGGGAAGAACAUAUGUGUAAGUAACUGUGCACAUCUUGACGGUACCUAAUCAGAAAGCCACGGCUAACUACGUG
rnacentral:rRNA from 1 species